rnacentral:lncRNA from 1 species
AAUAAUGUCCUUGGCUGGCUGCUAUGCUAACUGGCUUUUGGCAGCAUUUCACACCUGAGCUGUCCAGGUUGCAAGGGAGAAGCCAUACCAAUACGCUUGAUAUUAGAUUUUCAAAUUCUUGAAACUACAACUCAAAAUUUAUAAAUAGUAGACACUUCAGAAACUGAACAAUAUAUACCUCACAUUUAUGUUUUGAAAUUAUCUGCUUCAAAAUACAUAGACGAAGCUAGCAAGUCCUUAAAUGUGGAAAACUAUUCACUCAAAAUUUACAUUUAAGUAAAUGGUAAUACAAGAGGGAUAAUUAGUUACACCAAGCUGAGAUAUAUUGUGCAUUUGCAAGAACUUCUUCUCUCCUUGAUUCCUUGCGAAAAAUCAUGGCAAAAUGCUUUUGACAAACAUGUGAGCCUCAAAGCCGCUGCCCCAUUUAAAUAUAAAAGGGAUGCAGUCAUCCGAACCCCAUGGGACAAUGCCCUUGAAGCAUUUGAGGCCUCAUUGGAGGCUUUCAAAACGAAGGUAGAUUUGUUUCUCCCGAAGUCCAAUGUGGUGAUGCUCAAGCUAGAGGACGCCAUGUCAGCUUUGAAUUUGAGUUGAACCCUAACCAGUCCCUUUUCAUGCAUGCACUUUAAUCUGUAGUUUACUUUACAUUAUGAUAAAAAUACAAGUCGUCCACGUUGGCAAUCCACGACUCACUAAAGCAGCCAAUCAGGGACAUUUCCCUCGAUUUUUAUUUAUUUAUAUUUUCUCUUAUCCGAUAAUUAAUCAUCGGUACUAUCACCUUGCUUAUUUUCUAUUAUACUAUAGCCCCCCGCCCCCCAAACUCUUCCACCUUAUAUAUAAAUCAAAUACCCAAUCUUCUCUUUUAACUUUCUGCAAAUCCCACCCACCCCACCCCAUUGCACCCACACAUCACCGUCGUAUAACCCACCUCUCUCCCUCUCCCAAUCAUUUUCUUCAUCACAGCACAGUUAGCACCCAAAAAAUUUUUGAUGAGCUAAUCUAAUAGAAGACCUACUAAUUUCACUAGAAAAUAGACAAAAUGAAGACCCAUAUGUGUCUAACUAAUGAGAAGAUCCAGUAAUUUCACCGAAGAAGAAAAAAAUAGAAAUUUAAACAUUCAAACGCAUUAAACGUUACAACACAUUAAACAUGAGAUAUAUGAAGUUAUGAAGCCAUUAAAGUCAAAAGCCAUGAGAGAUAUGAACCCAAAUCAGAAACGCGAACAAGAAAACCAUCAAAUCUACAGAGUGAGAGUGAGAGUGAGAGAGAGAGAGAGAGAGAGAGAGAGAGAGAGAGAGAGGUUACACUGGGGAGACGAAGAGGCCAAAGGUUAUGACAUUGUCUGCCAAAGGUGAUGAAGAUGGAGAUAAAUGAUGCAAUGAGAUGAGAGUAGUGAGUGUUGUGUGCGGCUAGGGUUAGGAAACGAAGGAGAGGCUGAGAGAAAUGUGAGGGAGAGGUGGAGAGAGACUAGAUUCGUGAGUUUUAGUUAUGGAUGAGUUUUUCAGGCUUUUGGAGUCCAAUCAUGUGCGGAAUGGUGCAUGAUAACACUUACAAAUAACCACUCAAGCCUUGCCACAUGUAAAAUAUAAUUAACAAAUAAUAAAUAUAUUUCUAAUCGGUUCGGUUUGAUUUAGGACAGUUUACAAAAUUCUCAAACAUCAGUCGAAUUCGGAUCGGUUUUUAAAACUGUUGACUUUUUCUUUGGUCAAAACUAAAUCAAACCAAACCAAUAUAAUCGGUUCGGACGGUGUAACCGGAUCGGCCGGAUUGAUGCCCACCCCUAAUUACAAGACAAUGUCUCUACUUGUUUGAUUUAGGUUUAGAUCCAACUUAUUUUUUAAACUUGUUUAUUCACUAUUUGGUUUGGUUUUCUCAACAUUUUAACUAUAAUGUGCUUAUUUCUAUCAGGUUGCUGCUGAUGAUAUGAUGCAAUGAGCAAUAUUGAAGUUUUCUUCUGUAUUUUAGCCA